GGCCCAAUGGUCUAGAGGUAAGAUACUUGCUUUGGGAGUUUAUCCGCUUGCAAGGGAUCCCGGGUUCGAAUCCCGGUUGGGCCC